rnacentral:lncRNA from 1 species
CGGAUCCGAUUCUCAGCCCCCUGAUUCCUAGCCCCAUCUGCAAUUUCUCCAUCUACAUUGGAAAUCAAUAAGAACAGAAGAGUAUAUGAACACAUCAACAACAAGCAAGCACACCACAAACCAAGAAGACAAGAACAAAUACAUCACAAACCAGAACAAACAAUUCACCGUUACAUGUUCUACCAUGGACGACAAUUACAUGUUCAACAUAUCGGACACACCGUCCCAAUGGAUCUGCCGCCGUCAUCGCCGAUUCCCCGAAUCGUUGCUGUUCAUCUCCUUUGAGAUGCCGCCAUCAUUUGCUUCCACGGUGGUGAGGUCAGAGGCGGCUGGAUCAGGCGAGCCUUGACCUCAAGGAGCUCGGAUCCGGUGGCCCCCGACCUCUAGGUGAUCGGAUCCAGCGCGACUGGGGAGUGAGAGCAGGGAGGAAGUGGUGAAGAGGAGAGGGCGCCGCCGAGGAGAGGAGGAGGGGCAGUGGGCGGAAAGAAAAUACGGAGAGGGAAGGGGAGGAGGGGCAGCAGACGGAGAGGGAUGAGGAAGAGGGAGGGAAGGAGGGGUGAUGGAUGAAGAGGAAGGGGGAGGAGGAGUGGAAGACAGAGAGGGAGCAGGAGGCAGGCACAUGUGCGAGAGAUAGGAGGGAGAAAGAGAUGUGCGAGAGAGAGAGAUGAGGAUAGGAUAAGGCGCUCUCCUAUCCUCGCUAAAAUAUCUCGCUCCCAUCCUGCUGGCUCGGAUCGGCUAGACUGGUAUUAGUUUUUUAAGAAACCGACACCUAUAAUACGUUCUUUUAAAAAACUGGUACCUAUAGUUUUUUUUUCUCUAGAAGUGGCACCUACAAUUCUCAAAUGUUCCGGUUCUAUAUUUUUUAUCGCAUGAAGGUAGAAAAAGGUUCAUAGGUGCUGGUUUUAAAUAAACUGACACCUAUGAUCGAUACCUAUAGGGGUUUUAGUAUUGCCAGAGAGAUUGAUUUACAUAUAGUGAAGGAAUCAAUUCUACAGGAUGCUCUUAAUUUUUCUUUAGAUGGGAUGUGUCCCAGAUUAAGAUUUACUUAAAUUUUAAGUUGCCAAAAUAAACAGCUAAACUGAGUCUUUAUGCCAUGCCAAGUGGAUUCAUCUGGAUCCUUUAGUAGGCAUAUGACAAGCAUAAUAGCAUGUAUUCUUCUCUUUUCUACUCCCUCCGUUUUAUAUUAUAAGUUGCUUUGACUUUUUAAGUCAAACUUUCUUGAGUUUGACCAAAAUUUUAGAAAAUUUUAGCAACGCCCACAACAUCAAAUUAGUUUCAUUAAAUUAAAUAUAGCAUUGAAUAUAUUUUAAUAAUAUAUUUGUUUUGUACUGAAAAUAUUAUUAAUUUUUUCUAUAAACUUGGUCAAACUUUCAAAAGUUUGACUAGAAAAAAGUUCAAAUUAACUUAUAAUAUGAAACAAAGGAGAAUAUACUAGUGUCCUAAUAACUACAUGAAAGCAUAAGUACAAUUCCUUAAAAAAAAUCUACUGUCAAAACUUCAACAAGAAUAGAAAGAUUCAGCUUUGUGGCAGAUGGUAUCAUUUUUUUUUAAAAAAAAACAACAACAAAUGGGAUCAUCAAGUCACUUCACCUUGCAUUGAUUUAAGAUAAGGUGAAUGGUUUGAAUAUGAUAUAUUCUUAGAUAAAAUUGGUCUAAAUUCGUAAUAGUAUUUGAUAAUGGAGAAAACCAACGUGAUCCCAAAGGUUCGCUCCUGCAUCAAUUUAGUCAUAUGGGCUAAUAUAGUCGUCGGACUUAUUAAAAUCGCCACAUGGACAUACCAUAUCACCCUCCCAUGCAAAAUCUGCAAUGAGUUGUUUUACCCUUACAUAUUGUCAGAGGAACAGGAACGGGAGCCCCCCGGUCCUCCGGGGUCUUUAGGGCACCCGAGGUUGUAUGUUACAACAAGAGACACACAAGAUUUACAUCUUCAAGGAACGAACAAUAUCUACAUCUUCAAGAGAUACACAUGAUCUACAUCUCCAAGGUGCCGAGGAGAGUGUAGAGACCUACAGGAUCUAAAUCUCCAGGGUGCCAAGGAGAGGAUACAGAUCUACAAGAUCUAUAUCUUCAAGGUGCUAAGGGGGUAGAUAGUUGCUCGAUGCAUAUUCCACGGAGGUGAUCAUUGAGAACUUGUUCGUCAACGACAUAUUCGAGAAGCUCACCCAAAGUAACAAGAAAACAUGUGAAUUAGCAAGGGGAGAGGUCCUUGUUGCCCUGGGACGAUCUGGUGCCCCGAGCACGCUACCUGCCCCAGAUGUGUGGCUGCUCUGAGGAGCAGAGGCCACCCUAGAGUGCAGAACAAGUGGCUAGGGGUCCAGGCAGGGGCCCGAGCAUAUCCACCUUGCCCCGGGCUAGCCUCGAAUCUCUCUAAUCCUCUGAGUGGGCCUCUCGACACCACUUACCGCCCAAGUCUAAAACCACAUUUUAACACAUUUUAGUUCACAAAUAUAAGAGCUAUUCACCUCUGUCCAGCAGUGAAAAUAUUACCCAAAUUCUCAUUUACAAAGUGAUCAUGAUGUCAUUUAGCAUUUUCUAGGCAUGACUAAGCAUAGAGCUUUUAUAUAAGCAUGUAUAAACCUAUUUGAGUACUUAGAAAGUACUCUAACCAUUUCUAAGGUUACAAUCAGUGAGAGUAAUAAUUAUUCAAAGAGAAUAUGCAGCAAAUAGGACAUAACUACCAUAACCAUGUUUUAAAGAUACCGAUAUAGUCUAAAUUCAUAUGCAACUUUGCAAACAAAUAUUUUCAUUCCUCAAAUCAUGGGAUUCAAUGUGAUCAAAGGAUGGGAGGAGAAUUUGCCUUGCUCUUGGAAUUGUUAGCACCUAAGUCACUUCUUCACCGUUAUACAAUAAUCUAUAUAAAGUACACGUUAUACAAUUAAACACCGAAAUAGGAGAAAAUCCAAAAUGCUCUAAAAUGCAUGAUUUGUUCACAGUGGAUAGGUUCUGAUCUAAAAUGAAUUUACAUGAAAGAAUUUCUAUUUUAUCUCUUUUUAUUUGGAAGUUAUUAAUUUUAGAAGUUACGUCGGUAUAAUGUAGUAUAGGUUUAGGCAGUGCUACAAAAUAUUUUUGCAAAGUGGUUUUAUUAGAUUUGAAUUCUCAGGGGUGUAGAUAUGUGUUUUUUUAAUACUAACACAUUUUGUUUCACAAUUUUUAGAGUUAUUAUGAAUUCUUUAUGUGGUUCACAAGUUAUAACGUGUUCUAGGCAUAUAACUUUUAGGUGUACAUGACUUUGGAGAUUUAGGUUCAGAACAUGUUCUACUUUGUUUGAGAUGUAUAAAAUAAAUAAUUUGGUUAACCAAUCUAAUCUUAGUUCAUAACUUUAGGGCUUGUAUUAAUUUGCUAUACAUUCUAUAAAGUAGGGAGAUGUUCUUUGUUAGUUUUCUUAACAUAACAACUUAGAGGUUAUUACAUGAGCUAAGUUCUUCUAAGUUUUGGUGGAUGGGGAUGGAACUAUGGCUUCACUGGUCCUAACAAGUUUUAUUUUGGUUUAUUCAUAGCUAGAGUGCAUUUUAAAUACCUCUACACGUAUUUUUUGCUUAACCAUCACUAGGUGAUUAACUCCUAGGUUAUCUAUUUAAAGAUUAGAGCUAUAACCUGUACAAAAUUUGUCAUAUUUUAUUUUACUAUAUUGAAGCUCACUAUUUUCUGGUUCUAUAGAAACUUAGUUCAUUUCAUUUGGACUAAAAAUGAAUUUUCUACAAAUUUUACAAGUUAAAGGCUGCUCUAUGUUGGUUAUUCCUUACAUAAAUCUUUAGAGGCUUUGAUUAUACAGUAAGUACAUACUUUUAUUUUACAAAUUGGAAAUACAUAUUUCGGUGAUUCUACAGAACUUGUGUUUACUCAAAAAGGAGUUAAAAUGAAUUUUAGAUAAAUCUUUAAAGUUUAGCUUCCCUAAAUCUCAUCAUUUUAAAUGCAAUUGUUUUAAAGGCAUUUGAUGCAAAGCAAGUAAUUACUUUUAUUUCACCUAACCAGAGAGUGCAUGAUGAUGAAUUUGCAGAAUUUGAGUUUGUUUCAAAAUGAGUUGAGAUAAAUUUUAUAUGUAUUUUAUAAAUUUGUGUAUGUUUUAUGUAUGAUUUAUAUUAGACAAAUUUUUGAGGCAAAGUUUGUACAGUGAGUGUCAAGUUUUAUGUUUCUAUAGUAAAUUUCAUAACUUUGUGAAUCUACAGAAACUAGAAUCACCUCAAAAUGAGCUAUAUUUGAUUUUAUAUGAAUUUUCCAAGUUCGUGCAUUUUUCUGUUAAACAUAUAUUUGGUUGGGUAUUUUCAUUUAUUAUUUUCCAGAUUUUAAAGGAUGGGGUCCAUUGGUCAGUGAGAGAUCAAUAUGCAAAAAGCACCUUGAGGUUCCUAGGAAUCAACCCACAGUCCAAAGUUUGUGAUGAACCAAAUUCAUUAAGAGUCCUUAGAUUCUUUAAAUUCAUUACUAACUAGAAAAGCAGCGCGCCAACUGGCGCGCUCGCUCUGUAGCCCCUGUAUAAAGUUUGAUGAAUUAGUAUGAAAUUUGUGCUAUUAAUUAGUACGAAUUUCAUGAAAUUUUAUGGAAAUUAUUUGAAUUUCUAUGAAUUGCACAGAAUUGCUCCAAUUCAACAUAGCAGAUCGCAUUGUUGAGAAGGAUCCUUAAUUUUCUCUCUUCUUUCAAUUCAUGCUAUUCAGGGUUUUUUUGUGUGUCUAAAAUUGUAAUUAAUUGUCAACUAACGAUAAAACAUGUGUUUAUAAUUUUGAAAAUUUUAAGUGUUCCAAAUUUAUGUUUUGUGAGGAGCUAUUGCAAAUGCACUUUAGAACUGCUAGUAUAUAUGCAACAUAUCCUCACCGAUAUUACUAUUACAAAUGUUAGAGCCAUGUAAAAAUUGAUAGGAAGAUCCGCUCAUCAAUUUGUACAAAAAAAUAAUCAGUAUAUUAUUAUGAAGAUUGGUAUAAGACUCUCAACAUUAUAACGCAAUAUCUUGAACUCUACCAAAUAUUCUAAUAGCACUGAGCAUUUCAUCCUUGUCUAGAAAGGCUAGGAGAUAAAGAUUUAUACAAGUUUUGUGUGCGCAAAGGCUCGAGAGUAAAGAACCUACAGGUUAAUGAUGAUGGUCGUAAUGAUACAUAAUUGCAAAUGCAACCUAAACUUCAGGAGCCUACAAUCUACAUGGAUGAGUUGACAUGUUUUUAUGCCUACAUGGCUGCCUGAAAUUCAGCAGCCUCCUUAUACUAUUCCAGGGGCGGAGGGCUCGGUAGGGCGAGGUGUGGCGCUCGCCAUACCUCGCGCCGCCCGCUGAACCCCUCGUACUCCUCCGUGCAGAGCAGCAGCCGAGUCAGAGAGAGUGGCGACGCCGCAUCGUGAGAAGACGAGCGACAGCUGAGACGCGGCGUGGGCGUGUCCGCGAGGCUCGUCUUGUUUUGUGUCUUGAAUCUAGACCCAAAUUUCCCCAUCUGACCAUCUCCUCCACUCUCCCCCAAUCCGCCAAUCCCCAUCCCGAUCUCAUCGGCGGACGACGGCUGCCGCGAUGUGCGUCGUGCGCGGGAGGACUGGGUGAGGUGAGGAGGACGCAGAGCUGCGGCUGCGGCAUCCGCUCCGGCCAGGCGGCGGCGCGACCAGCCUCCAGGGCCCAGGGGGGCAUGCGAACACGCAGUCGCACACGCGCAGGCGCGCAGCGCAGGAAGAGCAGAGGUAGAGGCAGGGUGGGACCACUGGCGGAGGACGGAAAAAAAUUAGGUGUGGCACAAGGAGUGGACACCCAAGACUAAGGAAAAAGCAAUCUCAAUUGCAACAGGAUAUUUUGUCAAUAAGCCUAUAUUACGCAUGGCAACAACCAUUGAUCGCAAUCCAUUAUUCAUUUGCAAACAAGCAUAAAUAAAUAAAUAAAUAAAAGUAUGCAUGGAAGGAUAUGCACCUCUUUGAUGUCAAGACCUUCCCUUCCCUUUCUAUCCAUUUUCGCAAAACUUGGUUGCCCCUGCUAAUUGGCUGCUUGCUGAGCGGCGGAUGCAGUCACGCACGGCGCGCCCACGCCGCCACUGGCUGCAUGCUUGUGCCUUGUUGAGUUGAGUUGUUGCUCUGCUGCUAGCCCCUGCUGAAGUGCCGAGUGCCCAAUGCCGGAGUGCCUGCGGCCGGCGGCCUGCCCAACCUGCGCCGUCGCAGCCUCCUCCUCCCCGUGCCUCCUCCCCGCGACCCCGCACCAGCGCCGCCCAACUCCACUCGACCGGCGGCCGGAUUAGGGAUUGGAGUUGGAGAGAAGAGGGGAAUUUUGGGUUUAGCCGUCUAGGGUUUGAUGGUCAAAAGCCCCUUUUGCACAAAACAACUAAACAAGCCCAAUGGGCUAAAUAUUUUGGGUGCUCGCCUGCUUCAUCCUCUCGCCUCUCGCUCUUUCUUUGCGCACGGCGUCGUUCCCUCUCGCUCUUUCUCGCGCACGACGUCGCUCCCUCACCAGCGGCUGGAUCCCGGGGGAGGGGACGAAUUGAGAGGUGGGGGGUUAGGCGGAGCAAGGUAUGGCGAGGGCCACACCUUGCCCUACCGAGAGCUCCGCCCCUGGGUGGGACGAAUGGCACAACAGUAGUGCAGGCGUGCAGCACCAAGCAUCGACAGCAAGCAAGCCAACUGAUUCUACAUUUGUGAAGUUUAAUCAAUCUUUGGUACUGGACUACUGGAGUAUUUGUUUUAUAGAUUCCACAUGUAUUAUCUAUCUAUACUCAGUACUGUAGUUCCUAUAUGUGAAUAUGUGAUGUAUUGUUGAAAGCAUAAAUAUUAAGAAGUUGAGGUAUUUUUUGACUACACUGUUUGCAAAUGGAUGAUGAAUCAUGAACUUGCGAUUAGUUCUUGUUUGCUAGCUUAAUGUAGACUUGUUGAGAUAAUAUUGCGUCGUAUAAUGUUCUGUGCUAACUUUCGUGGUGAUUCGUUGGCCACACCUAAAUUUUUUUCCGUCCUCCGCCACUGUACUAUUCCACAUGUCAACAACUGGAAAUCA